rnacentral:ncRNA from 1 species
CUUGUGGACUGUUAUAAAAACGAGAGUAGCCCAGGCAAAAUCGGACAGGAUGAAGCAAGAA